rnacentral:lncRNA from 1 species
UAGGAUUCUUUCUUAAUAAAAUAGAUGAAUGUAUAUGGUUUGAAGUUUGGUAAAUAUUUAAGAUUUGUCUGUAUUUCCAUAAUAUAAAUUUACCACAAAGGUGUCUAAUUUCUCUUCUUUCUAAGGAGUAAGCAUCAAUGACAUUUGCUCCAUCCCUGUUGCUGGGUUUUAACAUUCGGAGAUGAUGGGGAAAACACUGUGAGUUUCUCAGAGGGAGAAGGGUUCUCUCCUGCUUGUUGCUGUCAGGGCUUCUUUUCUGGAAAAGAGCCCCGCUUUGCAAAGCUGAAAGGAAGGGAAAGCUUCACGUUGCAGAAGUGGACUUCAAAGCUCACUUACAACAGCAGUGCCAGCCAUUCUGAGUAAGGUCUCUGUGGUCAGUUUAUUUCCAUGUGUCAUGUCAUUCAGUUUGCCACUGACGAGGUCAAAGAAGCAAGAGUUUUAAGUUGAGACUGAAGAGAAUUCUAAUGUCUACAAACGCCCUGCUGGGGGAUGCCAAACUAAUGGCUACUUAAAUUUCAAAUUUGUCAUAGUUUCUGGCAUGAAUACAGGCUUCCUAUUAUAUGGACUUGGUGUUAACACCCUUUGCUUUCAUCGCUGGCAUUCAUUGACUAUUCUGUGUCAAACAAUGUUUUAGACAUUUUUACAUAUAUGCUCUAUUGGAGUAGUCUUCAGGGCUUCUGAGCUAAUGAGGGAAAAGAUAAUCUCCUGAUUGUUGUUAUAUCUGGCCUAAUCCAGUUCUCAGAAAUUCACAGGAGCUUAAUAAUCCUUCAGUCUUUAAAGGUAUUUUUAUUUAAAGUAAGAUGUGAUAAUGAGGCUAACUGUACAUACAUAUAUUUACCUCUUUCCUAUGCACAACUUAGAAAAUAUGUUGUAUAUGUUGAAGCAGCAAUAAAGUAGAUGAGUAGGAAAUUGUUCGGGUAGGGGACAUGGCUCAGUACCUACAGUGCUUGGUCAGUACCAUUAUAGGACUAAUAAAUAUCCAGUGGGUGCGGCAGCCUCAUCAGGACCCAGAAGGUAGGACUCCAGAGCAAGCUGGUUGGCCAGUGUGAGUUUGGGCUUUGAUUGAAAGGCCUACUUCAAAAAGAAUAAGAUUAAUAGUAAGGAAGAUAUUUAGAUUACCUCUGUUCUCCACAGAUUGACACACACACAUGAAGCUUUACACAAGUGGGCCAACACACAUGUAUACAUACAAUCACAGCACACACACAUGAAAUGAAAUG